rnacentral:scRNA from 1 species
GAAUAGCAAUAGUCCAUAGAUUUGCGAAAACAG